GGUGACAAGUGAAAACCAGACGAGAACGACGAAAAGCGUAAUGGCAGCAACUCAAGCUCUUCUCUGCAACAAUUGCUACCCCUAUUUCUUGGCUGCUGCUACCAAACCCUAUAAUUCCAAACCAUCAAUCUCUCACCAUUACCAAUUGUACAAAAAUAAAGAAAACUGCAAAGCGUGGCCUCUCACAAAACCGCUUUUUUUUAGAUCAGAAGACUGGCUCGAAAUUGAAGAACCUCUUCGUUUGCCACGCAGCGCGCCGCAAACCAACCAUCUCAAACGCCACUGUCUCCUCCGAGAAGGGCAAUGGUUAUAAUGUAGGGAAAGUGCUUCAAAUAAUAUUAUGGGUACUUGAAGGUGUUUACAUUUUGUGGCUCUUUCUACUACCUUAUGCCCCUGUGAGUAUCUCUUUCUAUACAGUUUAACAUUCUAUCAAUGGUAGCCACAAAGAAUACUGUGCUUGCGAAUUAACAAAAUUUAACCCGAAGAAUUAGCAUUUGGUUCAGUCACAAAUAGAAUGCUACUCAAGGAUUGCGUUUUGAUAGGGCACUAGAAAUCCAAUGCUUUGAAUUUGAGUUUUUAGCUCUAGUUACAUAAAUAAAGAUUUGAACUUGCAUAAGGGAAGAUGAAAACAUGCUUCGACCAAAUUCUAGAGGGAGGUAUUUCAAAUCCCUUCCAAUCAAGUUUUGAUCCGCAUUUACGAAUUUGGUUUCCAUUAACCACCGUGUGAAUCUAACUAAAGCAAAUAUAUGAUGCAUGAACGUCAUCCAAGUCCAUAUUGACCAUAUCCCUUCAUUUCAAAUCCCCACCUAUUCGAAGCCAUCCUAUAAUUUUCUAAGUUGUUGUUUGUUGUGCCUUUCUUUUGGUCAUAAAUAGAAUUCAUGAGUUUCAUAAUAAGAUCUUAUCUGUAUGUAUUAACAGGGAGAUCCAGUGUGGGCGAUCAGUAAGGACACUGUAAAUUCUCUCAUUGGCCUUUCUCUCAAUUUCUUCUUCAUCUUGCCAUUGAUGAAUUCCGGUAUGUGUAACUGCUGUAGUCACCGUCUGUCAACUAUAUACUAUAAGCCCUGUAGCAUAUAGCUGGUAUCUCUAUGCUGUAAUUCCUGUAUUUUUAGGGUCUUAGUCUAGUAAAAAUUUUAAAUAAAUUUAUCCGGAGACAAAAUAUGGAUCCAUUGGCAAGCCGUACAAGGAAGUGAUGAAGCAUUGGUAUUAGUUUUGCUUGUAAUUACAAUAAAUUUUCUCGUAGCAUAUUCUCUGUGGCAUUUAUGGUGGGGUGCCAUUGCCAUUUUUAUGAGCUCUCCCAUAUUUCUAACUAAAGCAUUUAUCAUACCUCUUGAUACAUGUUGAUUAAUACAAUUCAUGACAUUUGUCAUUUUUAAUCAUACCAUUUCUUUUGGGGAAGUUGGGUGGAGUGUCCUCAAUCCAUUUUUCCAUAUUCCUCUUCACCCUCACUUUUCCCCCAUUUUGCCACCUAAUCAAUAAGAUUUAAACUUCUGUCUGUUCUGCAUUGGCUUGAUGCUUAUAACAAAGCCAAAAUUGAUGUAUCAUGAUCAAUGGUUAAACUAGGAGCAUCCUUCUUAAAAAGAACUGCUGAAGGAAUAGUACUUUCCGUAUGAAUAUGAUAUUCAUACAGAUGAUUUAGAUUUUUUUGAUGAUUGAGUGUUCUUUUAGAAGGCAUUUCAAUGCCUUAAAUGUAGGUAUUUAUUUCUCUAGUAAACUCAGAGAAGGUUUAGUUUUAUAACCAACUCUACAGAUCAGUACUACAUGAAGUUUUUCAAUUUUUUAUUGGGGGAUUUUCUCAUGCUAUGAGAGAAAAAGCAUUCAAACUUUGAUGAUUUUGGCAAUGAACUUUUUGGCAGAGUAGUCGGCAUACAUCUUAUUGAUGCACCAGUGCUUCACCCGGUCUCAGAAGGAUUAUUCAACUUUGUUAUUGGAUGGACCUUCAUGUUUGCUCCUUUGCUGUUCACAGAUUGCAAGAGAGAUAGAUACCAAGGGUCAUUAGAUGUUCUGUGGGGCCUCCAGAUGUUCCUCACAAACAGUAUGUUUUCUUUAUAGCCUCUUGAAUUGAUAGAUUUGCACAAUAUUGGUCAUUUGUAUACUUUUUACCACAUAGGUCAUAAAUAAAAUAUAUUUGGUUUUGCUUGAGUUUACUACCAUUGCUCUUCGUUGGUGAUUUUAUCUUUUUCUAAUUUGUAGUCACGAAGGGGGUUACUUCUCAUCCCAAGAGGACCUGAUGAACCCCUGAAUACAUAAAGAACAAACCUGCGAUAUCAGAUAAUAGCUUCUCUGUUUAUUUUUGUUUUUAUUUUUUAUGUUUCGGUUUAAGAAAUAAUAGUAGGACUCCGCUGGGCAUUUUGUGCUAACCAAAGUUUCAUUAUUGCUCAUGUGAUGCCAGCAUUUUUAAUACCUUACAUGGCUAUCCGGCUGAACGAGGCUGAUUCUGAGUCAACUCUGAAAACACGCUCUCAACUGGGCACAGUGAUGACAAAUGGUGCACCGAUAGUGGGGCUGAUUGGCGGGUUUGCAUGCCUGAUUUCUGCGUUCUGGGCUUUUUAUGGCAGAAUGGAUAGUAAUUUUGGGAGCAUUCCAGACAGAUUGGAGUUCUUGUUUAGUUAUCUAGGAUCAGAGAGGCUGGCUUAUGCCUUCAUUUGGGAUAUAUGUCUUUACAUAAUCUUCCAGCCUUGGUUGAUAGGUGAAAAUUUACAGAACAUUCAGAAAAGCAAGGCCAAUGUGGUGAAUUUUCUUAGAUUUGUUCCAGUAGUUGGUUUGGUGGCCUAUCUUCUCUGGUUGAAGCUUGAUGAGGAACCAUAACUUUAUGCAGUUCUUUAAAUAUAUUCAAAUACAGUAAUUUUGUACAAAAAUGAAAAUUUUGUAUCCAUGUCUUUACUAGGUAGUAAAUGUAUUGGAUUUCGUAUCUCUAUUUGUUACUAAAAAGAAAAUGUAUCACUUCAAUUUUAUUUAUUAGUGAACUUCUUUUAUGACUGAUAACAGUGAAGCUGAGAUAAAGAUUGUUGACUGAAA
rnacentral:misc_RNA from 1 species